ensembl:lncRNA
CCGAGACCGAGUCGAGACCGAGACCGAACCGAGACCGAGACCGAGUCAAGACCGAGACCGAGUCGAGACCAAGUCAAGACCGAGACCGAGUCAAGACCGAGACCGAGUCAAGACCGAGACCGAGACCGAACCGAGACCGAGACCGAGUCAAGACCGAGACCGAGUCGAGACCAAGUCAAGACCGAGACCGAGACCGAGUCAAGACCGAGACCGAAAAGCAUCAACUCCUUUACUUCAACUAGUCACCUUCAUUCAUGCAUUGUUCCAGUAAAUAGACUGUUUCUAGAAGAAUGAAUUGCCUCUUAUCAAACUUUGUGCAAGCAAAAACAAAAGAUGAACAUUAUUCUUACAAACUCUGGCUGGAGAUUCGUAAAAGACCAGAUUUAAUGAGACGAAUACCCAAGACUGAGACAAGUCCAAGUCCAAAUGUUGCAUGAAUCAUGUCCUACGGCUAGAAACUGUACAACAUACAAUAGAUUAUGUUCAACAUGGCUCAUAAAAUGUUCUCCUAAAAGUUCCUAGAACCAUGUUGCUCAGAAACUGUUCUCCUAAAAUCCUCAUAAACGUUCCUCGAUAAACAUGGUUUAUAAAAUGUUCUCCUAAAAUCCUCCUAAAACUUUCUAGAUCAACAUGGUUCAUAAAAUGUUCUCCUGAAAGUUCCUCGAUCAACAUGGCUUAUCAAAUGUUCUCCUAAAAGUUCCUAGAACCAUGUUGCUCAUAAAAUGUUCUCAUAAAAAUCCUCCUAAAACUUUCUAC